rnacentral:rRNA from 1 species
CGCAUCUGUGCAUGCAGCAUAUCAAUAAGCGGAGGAAAAGAAACUAACAAGGAUUCCCCUAGUAACGGCGAGUGAAGCGGGAAGAGCUCAAAUUUGAAAUCUUAAAGGGUUUCCCUUUACGAAUUGUAGUUUAAAGAAGUGUUUUCUGUUGAGGUUUUGGUAAAAGUUCUUUGGAAUAGGACAUCAUAGAGGGUGAGAAUCCCGUAUUUGACCUUUACUUUCAACUUUGUGAUACACUUUCAAAGAGUCGGAUUGUUUGGGAAUGCAGUCCAAAAUGGGUGGUAAAUUUCAUCUAAAGCUAAAUAUUGGCGAGAGACCGAUAGCGAACAAGUACCGUGAGGGAAAGAUGAAAAGAACUUUGAAAAGAGAGUUAAACAGUACGUGAAAUUGUCAAAAGGGAAGCGCUUGACACCAGUGUUGUUUUUUUGAAAAUCAAUUAAAGAACUGUUUAUGCUAAGCUGUUUAGACUUUAUCAGCUAACUGUUUAGUUUUGAGCUUUUCUUUAAUGCACUUUUCAGUUAACAAGUCAACAUCAAUUUCUUUUGCUGUAAAAAAGCUUGAGGAAGGUGGCUUGAGAUUCGUCUUAAGUGUUUAUAGCCUCUUGCCUAUGCAGUCGGAGAGAUUGAGGUCUGCAGCGUAGAUCCUUCGGGGCUAAAUGCAUUUGUGCUAAGUUAUAGCAUUUUAUAGACAACUUGUUGACUAUGAUUUGUCUUGUAGCUUACUCGCUUAUGUUAUUUUACCUACGCUUAGGAUGUUGACAGCAGUAUAGACUGU